rnacentral:lncRNA from 7 species
UAGGUUGCUGCCCUAAAGACAGAGAUAGAAGACAUGAGAGACAGGCAGGAUGGAAAAGGAACAAAGUGAGUACAGCCUUCAUGGAAACAAUUGCUCAUGUGCGCCAUACAUGAGCUAUGGCAUAAAGUGAGUGAAUCAGAUUUUGCCUUGCCAUAUUAUACUUCACCGAGAAGCAUUGCAUGCUACAAAAUGUGGCCUUGGAGGAAACAGAGUACAUUGGUUCAUCGUAACAGAGCAGCUGGGGCGUGCAAUGAGAAGCAAAACGAAUUAGAAAGUUCUGCUAAGGACCAAGAGUGGCUCUGGCUCCUGCUGUCUGUCGCCUCCAGGAAGAGUAUCUCCAUGCUCUGCAAGAUGAUUUAGGAUGCAGUAUUUGCUAUGGUCCCAUUUUACAGCUCCUACAACACCAAAGUUGCAGCAUGUAUGUUCAAGUAUACCACAUCUGCUCCUCCAUCUCAGUAGAUGUGCCAGAUUGCAGAGAAUUUCUGUGCUGGAAAGAUCCAUCAAACAGGAGGAUUUUAACCAGCAUGUUGAAGAGCGUUCUCCCUUCGGAUUCUACUCACAUCACUCACAGACCAUGAAGACAUCAAGCCAUGAAGAAACCAAUAGAAAAGCAGUUUGGUUGCUUCUGAAUAAUCCGUUUUCCACUCCAACUUUACCAACUUAAACGUAUUUGAGAAUACUGUUAGAUUGAAUCCUCUCUAAAAUAUGUACAUUAUUUAAUCACAUAUGUAAACAGCAAGUAUGGCAUUAAAUGCAGCUUAGAAAGGAUAGAAAAGGAUUUAAAGGAUAUUUAUUGACUCCUCAAAGGUGAUGGAUGGACUCAGUAAUAUGAAACAAGUAAAUGUAAUGAUUAUAAUAACACUCAAGGAUUCUCUUUUAGCUUCCCACAGCCCAGAAAAGGAAAACAAAGUAAACCAAGUUCGGCUUGUAUAUGAUUUGGUUGUACUGAAAGAUGUGUCAUGGAACUUGGCAAACAUUCUCAGGUCACAGACUUUGCGACCACAGUGCAAUGUGAGCAGUUCAACUGAUUGAAAUAAAAAUAAUCAUUUCCUAUACUUUAAUCAUAAAAUGUUCAUAAAUAGACCACAGCUAACUUCCCCAACAUGCUACAGAGCUGCAAUUCAGAUUCAUUAGCGUGAGCAGAAAAAAAGCCCACAGCUCAGUAGGUUUUAGGAUGAAUUUGCAUUCCCAAGCACAGAAUCAGAUUGGGCCAUUCACUUCCACAGAUUAAAGAGGAGAACCCUCUGCUGGAUUCCAGAAUGCUCUCUGGGCAGUAGAAGGCACUUUCCUGGUAGUAUCAUACCUACCUUGGGGAUCUGCUACCUUAACUUCCAGCUGAAGGAGGAAAAGCCUGGAAUAUUUGGAAGUUUAAGCUACUGUUUGGAUGAAUCCCAUUGGGAUGCUGAAGUUAAGCUGCUCUGUAUUCCUUGGAAGGCAUUAUUAUCUCUGCAGAUUCCUUCUCACUUUGAGAAGCCAAUAACUAUUAGGGUAAUCACCUUUCUGUGUUUUGAGGACAGGUUGAGAUUGCAGCUGCUUGCAAAUCAUGUAGAAUGGGAAGGGUGGGGAAGUUCAUCUGGGCCUUGAUUACAGACAAAAUACUGCCAGGGUUUAAAAGACAUUUAGCAACAACAUUAGUGGAUUGUCAUUUCUAGGCUUGUUUGUAUAUUUAUUUAUUUCUAACGACUCAAAGUAUUUCACAAGAAGUGGGAUUGCUUUGGCCUGCAUGUAAGUGUGUCAUGACAGCCCUGUUAAUCAUCCUGAAAUCAUCUGCUUGGGUCACUGAUAAAUAACAGGCAACUGCCCAGCCGGUUCUUGGAAGCAGAGCCCCUGCUUUGGAACAGUGUGAAACCACAAAUACUAUCCAUGUGCAAACAAAUGUGACUUAUAGUUUAUCAUUUAUAUUCAAGUCGCCCUGAAAAUGUCUUUCCUCUUCCUGAAUCAUUAACUUCUCUGAAAAAAAUAGAAUCAGGCACAUAUUAGAGGUCAAUAGAAGAAAAGCAAAUGACAAAAAAUUAAACAAAACAAUAGGCUGUGUUAUGUUUCCAUGGAAAGGCAGC